ensembl:lncRNA
GCCCCAGCCCCCCAAAGGAGGGAGGGUGGGCGGAGAGGUUGCCCUCCCACCUCAGGAGCUGGCCCAGUGGGUUCGGGGACUGGGGACCCCGGUGGACGAGAUUGUGCUGGAAAGCUGGCCGGCACCACAAGAGCAUAAGGAAGAGAGGGGGAUGAGGGCAACCACAUUAAAAAAUAAACACAAACCCCAAAAUAAACACUGUUAAUGGAAGUGACUAAUCAAGGGUGUGCUGAACUUGGUGGUUCUUGAUAAGAUACAGGGGAAAAUGCACUUGGAAAAAAUAACAGAUUUCUUUUUCUCCUUUGAUAAAUAAAGCGAUGCAGAGCCGGGAGGUGAGGGUUCACGUUUGUUUCAACCUGGCAGAAAGUCUCAGUCGUGUCCGACUCUUUGCAACCGCAUGGACUGUAUAGUCCCCAUGGACUGAAUUCUCCAGGCCAGAAUCCUGGAGUGGGUAGCCUUUCCCUUCUCCUGGGGAUCUUUCUGACCCAGGAAUCAAACCAUGGUCUCCUGCAUUGCCGGCGGAUUCUUUACCAGCUAGCUACCAGGGAAGCCCUUCAAUCUGGCAGCGGAGGUUUAAAAAAAAAAAGUUUCUCGAUCUUGACACUAUAGACAUUUGGGGCUGGAUAAUCCUAAUAAAGGGCUUCUCAGGUGGCACUCAUAGUAAAGAAUCCACCUGCCAAUGCAGGAGACUUAAGAGACUUGAACUGUGGGUUCAAUUCCCUGGUUGGGAAGAUGCCCUGGAGAUGGGCACGGCAACCCACUCCAGUAUUCUUGCCUGGAGAAUCUCAUGGACAGAGGAGCCCGGUGGGCUACAGUCCAUAGGAUCGCAGAGUCAGACACAACUGAAGCGACUCACACACACACACGCACACACACACACACGCAUGCACAAUCAGGUACAGAACACUGCUGCUUCAAAGUUCUCCAGGAACAGCUGCCGUUCAUCUCACAGCUGCCUUGACCCAGAAGGAUCAUUCCAGUGCCGACCGGGUUUCAUUGAUGAGGGUCUCACACCCCCUGGAAGAAGAAGCCUUUCGCCCUCGGAAGACAAGGUGUGAGAAAGUCCACAACCGCCAGAGGGGAAAGGGUCUCGUUUUGCUCUUCACUUUGUCACCAACUCAUGACCCAGGUAAAGCCCAGGGCAGGUGACCUGGUGACCCGUCUGGGAUGUCUUUGGGAGGAGGUGUAGGGGUGGCCGUCAGGAAGGCCAUUUGCAGUCUGGGGGGUUCAUGGAGAAGCUGUGGCGGGGGAGCGGCAGACCCCACCUUCCAUCUCCAGCCUCUUCCUGAUGCCUCCACUGAGUCCAACCUUAAGGACUCCGAAGUCAGAGUCAUCCCAUGACUUGUCUGUGAGUCAGCACCACUUGGCUCACUCUUCACCGCCACUCUGAAUUCAGCACCUCCAAGAACAUCAGUUCACGGUGGCAACCCGGCAAAGGCAAGGAAUUUGGGAAGUGACAUGAACUUAAAAGUGAGGAUUCCCCGCACUGACCACCGUCAGCACUGGGCGGGCCUCCCCUCCUCCAUCCCUGCACAGAAGGAAAACAGGGGGCAGAGGGGAAGGAGGAAGGGGAGGGGGUUGCAAUCUGUAAAUAGGGGGCUCCCCUGGUGGCUCGGGGGUAGACACGGGUUCGAUCCUGGUGCAGGAAGAUCCCACGUGCUGCAGAGGAGCUGAGCCCGUAUGCCAUAACGAUGGAGCCUGUGCCCUAGAGUCUGGGAGGUGCAGCUCCUGAAGCCCACAGGCCUAGUCCGGGCCUCCGACAAGAGAAGCCACCUCGAGGAGAGGCCCAAAUACCAUUGCAACAUGACAGAAGCCUCCACCCACCGCAACUGCAGAAAAGCCGGCGCGGCCACAGAGACCCAGCACAGCCAAAAAUAUUUAAAUAAAAAUUCUUUUUAAAAAAAUCGGCA